UACAGAGGAUGCAAGCGUUGUUCGGAUUCAUUGGGCGUAAAGGGUGCGUAGGUGGCGCCGUAAGUCGGGUGUGAAAUUUCGGAGCUUAACUCCGAAACUGCAUUCGAUACUGCGGUGCUUGAGGACUGGAGAGGAGACUGGAAUUCAUGGUGUAGCAGUGAAAUGCGUAGAGAUCAUGAGGAAGACCAGUGGCGAAGGCGGGUCUCUGGACAGUUCCUGACACUGAGGCACGAAGGCCAGGGGAGCAAACGGG
rnacentral:rRNA from 1 species